GUGGCUUCAGCAGCACAUAUACUAAAAUUGGAAUGACACAAAGAAGAUUAUUAUGGCCCUGCUGCAAGGAUGACAUGCAAAUUUGUGAAGCACUCCAUAUUUUU